CUAGGUAUUGCCAGCCAUCCCGCGUGAGUGAAGAAGGUCUUCGGAUUGUAAGUCUUUAAGUUGGGAGGAAGGCCCGUUACCUAAUACGUGAUUGUCUUGACGUUACCGACAGAAUAAGCACCGGCUAACUCUGUGCCAGCGGGCGCGGGUAAUC
rnacentral:rRNA from 1 species